UACGGGGGGAGCAAGCGUUGUUCGGAUUUACUGGGCGUAAAGGGCGCGUAGGCGGCCACCGCAAGUCGAUUGUGAAAUCUCCGGGCUUAACCCGGAAAGGUCAACCGAUACUGCGGGGCUAGAGUGCAGAAGGGGCAACUGGAAUUCUCGGUGUAGCGGUGAAAUGCGUAGAUAUCGAGAGGAACACCUGCGGCGAAGGCGGGUUGCUGGGCUGACACUGACGCUGAAGUGCGAAAGCUAGGGGAGCGAACGGG
rnacentral:rRNA from 1 species